ACUGGAACACCGGAAGCCAGUGAAGUGAGGGCAGCGCUGCCGUUAUGUGCUCACGUUUCUUUGUCCCGGUUAGGAGACGAGCUGCUCAUUCUGAACCAGCUGCAGACGGUUGAGUUCUGACUGGUCAAUGCCGACGUACAGAGAGUUACAGUAGUCCAACAUCAUGGAAUAAAAGCAUGGAUAACUUGUUCUAUAUCAGCCCUUCUUAGACAGGGUUUGACUUUAGAUAGAAGCGGAAGCUGAAAGAAGCUCGCCUUGACCACUGAGCUCAUCUGCUGCUAAUUUAAACGCCCCAUCAAUAAUAAGCUUCCUAGCCUGCCAUGUAUGUAAUCAACUACCAGCCUGACUCAGGAUUGUGGAUUUAGCUGGCAGGGAACCGAGUGGGGAACUGGGGAAACUGGCAGGUGCACAGGUGGAUGGGGGCGUGGCGUGGAGCAGGAGACGGUAGAACCAGGUGAGGCGUGAACGGUCCGAGACAAACGAGUCAGUUCGGAGUUGGCGGCUGUUUCCAGGACGAAGGCCUCAGAGAUCCUCCAGCGAGUCCUCUGGCUUCACUGCUGACAGGUACAGCUCACAAACACAGCACAUUCAAUUUCACUGCAAUGUUUGAUUAUAUUUGAUAGCUUCUUUAAAAGGAAUUCUAUUUUCCUCUCAUGCUUUUGCUGCAUUCAUCCCAUCGUCUGCUCUUUAGACAUUUUAACUAAAAGUUGACUCCAGUUUGUGCAGCAUUUUCAAGAAGGGAAUUUUUAGACAGAGCAUUAAACCUGCUAAUCCCCACUUUCUGCUGCCGUUGCUCCGGAAUGAUUCCUGAAAGGUAUUAAAAGUAGAAACUGCUGUUUGAAGUCCUUUUUUUAGACAGCUUCAGUGACUCCACAUUUCAGACAUGAGGUUGGUUCACCCUUUGAAAGUUUGAGCCUCAAAAAAAAAAAAGCAACAACUCAGAAAUCUCCUCUACUGUGAUGUUCUUAAUUGGUAGUUGAAUGAAAUUUAGCCGAUGGGGUUUGAUGCAGGACGCUGCUGCUGCUGCUUGUCAACCAGAAAUGUGAUUAAAUUCUGAAAUAUUUACCGUCAACUGUUGUCAACCCAUGUUGAGUCUGAACCAAAAGAGACUCACAUAUCCCCCUUUUUCUACAGUAGAAGAAACGAAAAGAGGAAAUUAUCUGCUUUGAGUAGCAUCUAUUUAAUCCCACAUUCAAAUUCUUGUGUUUACUUUUCCAGCAGCACAGUUUCCUUUUUCAGUAUAACUCUGCACACAGGGAGUGACUGGAUUUUUCUACAUAUUUCAAACUUUUAUUAGCCUCUAUCACUUUUUGUUCUGUAUAAUUUACCAUGCUUUUAUUGUGAAAGGUUUCUUGAUUUGGAUCCACAUAUAAACAUACAGUUCACCUAAAUCACAACACAAUGCACAGUUAACAAGAUAUUUUUAUUCAUUUGGUAGCAUCUCUCAUUAAAAAAACAUUACAGCAGCUUCUGUUCCUCAUCUCUGUCAAGUAAUUUACAUAAACGGUAAAACUGAUCUCUCACUAAAGUUUCCAUUCUGGCUGUAUUUUAUCACUAGACAGAGGAAAUGAAGCCUCCACAGUCAGUUUUACACAAUUCUUUGGGAAUUACUGUCACCAAGGGUUUCUUUGUUUUUGUAAUAAAGGAAUAUUAGAGGACUCAUAAGGCAGCAGAACAUUAAAAAGACUGGAGCUUAAGAAUCUUCCUUCUUGUGAAAAAGUAUACCUCUGUGAGCAGAAUAUUACCUGCAUUUCCCUCUCUAAUUGUAGUGAUCGUCAUAUUUUCAGGUUUAUACUUGGCUUUAAGGAAAAGACAAAGCAUCUGCAUCUGUGCUGAAGCACUGUAUUUUUUGGCAAAUGAGGACAACAGGAGGGUCAAAAGAAGCCUCAGCUCUCUACAAGUCCACACAUGGAAAUUUGUCAAAUGGCUGAUCAGCAGCAGACCGGGAUGAAGCUGGAUAUGAAGGUUUUAGUGAGCGUCCUGAUAGAGGACAUCUCCAGCUCUGGUGACAACAUUGCUGCCAGUUAACUCUCACAGAGGAAGCCUGAGAGCACUUAGUCUGUUUUUUUUUCUUUUUCAUAUGAGGGAGAUGUUACAGUCUUGCAUCAUGCAUGUACUGAGCCUGGAGUUCUUUCUGCCUGUGAUGAUAUCAUCUUCCUUUCUUCUUUCUCGUGGUGUGGUUCUUAAGACUUGGUAUCAGCAUUUACUGAAGAGAGGGGAGAAUUUCUCAUUUAUUUAAGUCUUUACUGAGAGAACCCUCAUGCGAAAGACAUUAGAGCUCAAGGAAAAGCCUGGAAUGGCACUUUAUGUAACACAUUUGAGCCUUUCAACGGUGUUUCCAGUCAGAAAUACCUCAGCACGAUCUGCCUUAAUCAUUUACAGUAACGUGGGAUGGAUGCAUUUAGCUCCUGGAUUCUUCCUCAGGGUUGCAUAAAAGCACAGGAUACAUAGAAGAGAAAGAAACUAUAACCAAGAAUAAAAUAUUUUCUUCUUUAAAAUCACAGUAUAAUCUGCAUGUUUCCCUCCAGGUUCCAGUGUUCUUCCAUGCAGACAAAGGAAAGUACACAAAUAUGUACAGCUAAAACAAAGACAACAGAGAUAAGCAAGGCGAGGAAUAAUGGUCUGUGGAAGGAGCAAACAAAACACAGAGGAAACCCACACAAAUAUGUGGAACUCCACCCAGAAAGUCACCAAAUUAAGAAUAAUGAGGGGAUGGCAUGAAAUACACAAAGACAGGAUUCUAAUCAUGCAGUCUGUGAGGAGCUGCCUGGAUCAAGAGUGUUAUAAUAAUGAUUUAGAAAAGGUAAAGGAUCAAAUCUAUUCACAAAAAACAAUUCUCCAUCUAACUUCUAUGAGGCUCUUAUAGUCUGUCUAGUGUCUUAACCAUUAUUCUGCUACAUCCUCUCUCACUGUAGGAUUUGUAAUUAUGCAGCGAUCUGCUCCACACGUAGGCAUUUUCUUGCUACACCAGAAUCAAGCUGUACAUGAUGAGUCUUUUCAGCCAGAGAGACACAAUGAACGAGACGCUUCAGCUCGAACAAAGUGAAUAAUGCAGAACAGCAAGAGACACGAGUGAGACAAAAGGCAAUAAUAGAAUCAAGAUGCUGCAUUAAGAAACAGUAUGGCUUCCAGAACGGCUGAGGAAAGGGAGUAAGUCAUUCGGAAAUCAGGAUUUGUUUUGAUUAACUGAUGUUACUUUUUAGGCCGUUUCUUUAUGUUUAGAUGUCAUUUAAUCAUCACGUCAUUUAGCAUCACAGUUAAUAUCAUUAAUAUACCUGGCACAUUUGUCAUGGCCACAGGCUGUGAUUAGUAGCAGUGCUCUCCCCUCCUCUGGCCCUGCUCUCUCUCUCUCUCCUAGGUGUGUGUUGGCACAGAGGCUGGCAGCAGGUGUUUCUGAUCAGCUAUCAGCUGUACAUGAGCAGGUGGGAGCCAUCCAAUCAACUACUCCUGCUUCUCCAUAAAACCAGACGCCACUCUUCACUCGUCGCCGGACCGUGAACAACCUCCAAACUGACUCCUGCCUGCUCAUGCCACCCGGAUCUUCUGCUCGCUUGCUCUAAGUUCCCUCACCUUUCCAGGUUCCCUUAGCUGCUUUUAGUUCAGCGAAUUCCUGAGAAUUCCUGUUCACCUGAAGAAUACACCUGCUGCCAGCCUCGCCACUGAACACCAGCCUCGCUACUGAACACCAGCCACGCCACCUUGGAUGCCAGCCCUCCAGUCUGUCCACCACGGAUGCCAACUACACCACCACUGGCUACCAUUGGAACAACUCGUCCUCCCUAGACUGGUGGGAACCUGGCCAUAAUCCCGGACUCUCUCCCUGGCACCGUAUAUUAAGUCUCCAAGCCCAAGCAAUACCAGACUUUAUUAUUAGACCAGUCCGCUUGUUCAUUCUGUCAAUUCUAAUUGGCUUUUUGUAUAGUAUUCUGCUUUCCGGUUUUCAUAUUUCCGGUAUACAGUUGUAGUUCUUUGUAUUUUUCCUGUGUUGUAAAUAAAAGCAUUGUUAAACUAUU